UACGUAGGGUGCGAGCGUUGUCCGGAAUUAUUGGGCGUAAAGAGCUUGUAGGCGGUUUGUCGCGUCUGAUGUGAAAUCUAUGGGCUCAACUCAUAGUCUGCAUCGGAAACUGCCGGGCUUGAGUAUGGGAGAGGUGAGUGGAAUUCCUGGUGUAGCGGUGAAAUGCGUAGAUAGUCAGGAGGAACACCUGUGGCGAAAGCGGCUCACUGGACCAUAACUGACGCUGAUGCACGAAAGCCUAGGGGAGCAAACAGG
rnacentral:rRNA from 1 species